rnacentral:rRNA from 1 species
UGGCUCAUUAUAUAAGUUAUCGUUUAUUUGAUAGUACCUUACUACUUGGAUAACCGUGGUAAUUCUAGAGCUAAUACAUGCUGAAAAUCCCGACUUCGGAAGGGAUGUAUUUAUUAGAUUAAAAACCAAUGCCCUCCUGGGCUCUCUGGUGAUUCAUGAUAACUUCUCGAAUCGCACGGCCUCGCGCCGGCGAUGGUUCAUUCAAAUUUCUUCCCUAUCAACUUUCGAUGUUUGGGUAGUGGCCAAACAUGGUUGCAACGGGUAACGGAGGGUUAGGGCUCGACCCCGGAGAAGGAGCCUGAGAAACGGCUACUACAUCCAAGGAAGGCAGCAGGCGCGCAAAUUACCCAAUCCCGACACGGGGAGGUAGUGACAAUAAAUACUGAUACAGGGCUCUUUCGGGUCUUGUAAUUGGAAUGAGUACAAUUUAAAUCCCUUAACGAGGAACAAUUGGAGGGCAAGUCUGGUGCCAGCAGCCGCGGUAAUUCCAGCUCCAAUAGCGUAUAUUAAAGUUGUUGUGGUUAAAAAGCUCGUAGUUGAACCUUGGGCCUGGCUGGCCGGUCCGCCUCACCGCGUGUACUGGUCCGGCCGGGCCUUUCCCUCUGUGGAACCCCAUGCCCUUCACUGGGCGUGGCGGGGAAACAGGACGUUUACUUUGAAAAAAUUAGAGUGCUCCAGGCAGGCCUAUGCUCGAAUACAUUAGCAUGGAAUAAUGAAAUAGGACGCGCGGUUCUAUUUUGUUGGUUUCUAGGACCGCCGUAAUGAUUAAUAGGGACAGUCGGGGGCAUCAGUAUUCAAUUGUCAGAGGUGAAAUUCUUGGAUUUAUUGAAGACUAACUACUGCGAAAGCAUUUGCCAAGGAUGUUUUCAUUAAUCACGAACGAAAGUUAGGGGAUCGAAGACGAUCAGAUACCGUCGUAGUCUUAACCAUAAACUAUGCCGACUAGGGAUCGGACGAUGUUAUUUUUUGACUCGUUCGGCACCUUACGAGAA